AACGCGAAGAACCUUACCUGGGCUUGACAUCCUCUGAUCAUCUAGGAGACUAGGUUUCCGGGCAACCGGACAGAGAGACAGGUGCUGCAUGGCUGUCGUCAGCUCGUGCCGUGAGAUGUUGGGUUAAGUCCCGCAACGAGCGCAACCCCCAUCUGCAGUUGCCAGCGGUUUGGCCGGGCACUCUGCAGAAACUGCCGGUGACAAGCCGGAGGAAGGCGGGGAUGACGUCAAGUCCUCAUGGCCCUUAUGGGCUGGGCUACACACGUGCUACAAUGGCGGUGACAGAGGGGAGCAAGGGUGCGAGCCCGAGCCAAUCUCAAAAAGCCGUCUCAGUUCGGAUUGCUCGCUGCAACUCGCGAGCAUGAAGUCGGAAUCGCUAGUAAUCGCGGAUCAGCAUGCCGCGGUGAAUACGUUCCCGGGCCUUGUACACACCGACUGUAC
rnacentral:rRNA from 1 species